rnacentral:rRNA from 1 species
CCUACGGGAGGCAGCAGUGAGGAAUAUUGGUCAAUGGACGAGAGUCUGAACCAGCCAAGUAGCGUGAAGGAUGACUGCCCUAUGGGUUGUAAACUUCUUUUAUAUGGGAAUAAAAUGCUCCACGUGUGGGAUUUUGUAUGUACCAUAUGAAUAAGGAUCGGCUAACUCCGUGCCAGCAGCCGCGGUAAUACGGAGGAUCCGAGCGUUAUCCGGAUUUAUUGGGUUUAAAGGGAGCGUAGGUGGUUUGUUAAGUCAGUUGUGAAAAUUUGCGGCUCAACCGUAAAAGUGCAGUUGAAACUGGCAGACUUGAGUACGGUAGAGGUAGGCGGAAUUCGUGGUGUAGCGGUGAAAUGCUUAGAUAUCACGAAGAACUCCGAUUGCGAAGGCAGCGCACUGGACUGCAACUGACACUGAGGCUCGAAAGUGUGGGUAUCAAACAGGAUUAGAUACCCUAGUAGUC